GAGACUCUAGUAAAAUUAUUACUCUACCUUGUCGAGGUAAUAUUGAGGGCGGGAAUCCCUCGAGUCUUU
rnacentral:tRNA from 1 species